GUGGCGAACGGGUGAGUAACACGUGAGCAACCUGCCCUGGACUCUGGGAUAAGCGCUGGAAACGGCGUCUAAUACUGGAUAUGAGACGUGAUCGCAUGGUCGUGUUUGGAAAGAUUUUUCGGUCUGGGAUGGGCUCGCGGCCUAUCAGCUUGUUGGUGAGGUAAUGGCUCACCAAGGCGUCGACGGGUAGCCGGCCUGAGAGGGUGACCGGCCACACUGGGACUGAGACACGGCCCAGACUCCUACGGGAGGCAGCAGUGGGGAAUAUUGCACAAUGGGCGGAAGCCUGAUGCAGCAACGCCGCGUGAGGGAUGACGGCCUUCGGGUUGUAAACCUCUUUUAGCAGGGAAGAAGCGAAAGUGACGGUACCUGCAGAAAAAGCGCCGGCUAACUACGUGCCAGCAGCCGCGGUAAUACGUAGGGCGCAAGCGUUAUCCGGAAUUAUUGGGCGUAAAGAGCUCGUAGGCGGUUUGUCGCGUCUGCUGUGAAAUCCCGAGGCUCAACCUCGGGCCUGCAGUGGGUACGGGCAGACUAGAGUGCGGUAGGGGAGAUUGGAAUUCCUGGUGUAGCGGUGGAAUGCGCAGAUAUCAGGAGGAACACCGAUGGCGAAGGCAGAUCUCUGGGCCGUAACUGACGCUGAGGAGCGAAAGGGUGGGGAGCAAACAGGCUU
rnacentral:rRNA from 2 species